AGCUGGAAACUCUCUGUGCGAAUCGCGCAUAGCAGCUCCCCGAGUCGAAAGUCAGACGCACACUCGCAUCGACGCCCCCAGAACCGUCGCCGCCGCCACCAGCGCCGACUAUGACGUCCGUGCGCAGCGCCGCCGGGGUCGCGCUGCCGCCUAUCCGCCUGGCGGUGGAGCGGGCGCGCCAGGAGGCGCUCCGGCGCGAGCUGGACGGGUGCCAGCUCCUGGCGGGCAUCUGGUGCCACGGCUUCACGGUGGCGCAGCUCCGCAGCAUCCGCGCGUCGCUCCCCUCCACGGCGCGGCUGCUGGUCGCCAAGAACUCCGACCUCGCGGCGGCGGUCGAGGGCACGCGCUGGGAGUCGCUCCGCCCCUGCGCCCGUGGCAUGAACGCCUGGCUCUUCGUGCGCUCCGACGAGAUCCCGCCGGCCCUCCGGCCCUACCGCGACUUCCAGAAGGAGUGGCGCCUCCAGCUCAACGACUUCACCGGCGCCGUCUACGAGGGCCGCCUCUACGGCCCCGACGACUUCGCGCAGCUCGAAGCCAUGCCCACCAGGGUGCAGUCCUACCAGUACCUCCUCGGAUGCCUCCAGAUGCCCGCCGUCUCCGUCCUCGCCGCCCUCCGCGCGCGCCAGGAGGCCAUGACGCAGGCCGAGAAGCCGCCAGCCGAGGAGGCGGCUCCUGCUCCUGCUCCGGAGAAGUGAUCCAGCCGUUGACGCCGAGGUUCCUCAGUUAUCACACCUGCAGCUCCUUUCUCUUUUGCAGAUUUUGAAUUCAGUGUUAGUAGAGAACAUCCACAAAACCAUCAUAAGGAUGCAUUGCUCUUAUGUAUCAUCAGUUCAUGAACUGACUUUUGAAUGGGAAGAAAUGUGAUGUUGGAUUGCCAUUGAUGAUGAUUUAACUAACAAAUGGGAAGAAAUUUAACUAACAAAAUAUAAACUAUAUGUCACAAAAAUUAUAUUGUCGGAAAGCUCUUUCAAAUACAAACCCAACAGUCUAAUUUUUUUAUAGCACAUAAUUUAUAUUUUAGUAGUCUACAGAUAGCCAAAGUCUAGCCCAAAAUACGAAGGGCCGAUAAACCCAGACGGAGGUAGUAUUUUGUCUGGGAACAAAUGUGGUGCUGUUGAAUUGCCACUGCCAAAGUGCCAAUGUAAUACUGCAUUUGAUUUCAGGUGCAAAUGGGCGGAUGCGGUUUAAUCUGCAGUUGUUUGGCAAUGUGAUCAGCUCAGGAAAACUGAACCACAAAUGUGAUCACCACUCUCUUUUGUGUGAAUGUUGAACUGGCCGACUCGGUCAUCAGACUGUCGAAUAUCGUAAGCACCAUUGUUUCAGUACGACUUGUAUCAGUUAUAUCAUAUCGUUUA